GAUGAACGCUGGCGGCGUGCUUAACACAUGCAAGUCGAACGAAGCGCUUGGAUGGAAUUCUUCGGAAGGAAGCUCAAGUGACUGAGUGGCGGACGGGUGAGUAACGCGUGGGUAACCUGCCUCAUACAGGGGGAUAACAGUUAGAAAUGACUGCUAAUACCGCAUAAGCACACGUGAUCGCAUGAUCGAGUGUGAAAAACUCCGGUGGUAUGAGAUGGACCCGCGUCUGAUUAGCUAGUUGGUGGGGUAAUGGCCCACCAAGGCGACGAUCAGUAGCCGGCCUGAGAGGGUGAACGGCCACAUUGGGACUGAGACACGGCCCAAACUCCUACGGGAGGCAGCAGUGGGGAAUAUUGCACAAUGGGGGAAACCCUGAUGCAGCGACGCCGCGUGAAGGAUGAAGUAUUUCGGUAUGUAAACUUCUAUCAGCAGGGAAGAAAAUGACG
rnacentral:rRNA from 1 species